GUAAAUGCACCAUACAUAAAAUACGACUACAUAAAUAUACGUAUUUUGUAACCGAUAAACAUAGUGACGCAGUCUAAAAAAAAUGCAUGACGUAGUUAUCGCGCGUUCUGUCAGCAGACGUAAACAUCGCUUAAAGUAAUGAUGGCGGCUGAGCCUGUGGUCAAACGGAUGAAAAACAAAAACUGGAACGCAUCGGAAACGACAAUUCUUGUCGAACGGUGUGUUGAAGGGUAUAGCCUUCUGUUUGGAAGUCAUUCGCCUUCGGUAACGGAAGGGAAAAAGGAUUUGUAUUGGAAGGAAACAAUUGAAAUGAUAAAUGCAGUUGGACCCGGUAGAAGUUUGCAUGAGGCAAAAAGAAAAUGGGUGGACCUAAAAAGUUCCACAAAGGCCAAAGAAAAAAAAAUUAAAAAGGAAGUGGGAAAAACAGGUGGUGGACCUGCGCCAGACAAGUUGACACCACUUGAAGAAAAGGGAACUUUUUAAAUGGAUCAACGACAAUUUCGGGUGCUGACUGUCAUUCCGAAAGCGUCCAUUGAAGGUGUCACUGCAGAGGGGGAUGUUUUUUUAGACAAUCUUAAAGGUAAUCUGAAUAAUUAAUAUACAUAAACAACCAGCAUAUAAUAAAAAUCCUCAUGAGAUAAUCCUCCAUUGAGGAGAAAUUUGAGACUGAAGAAGUGCAAUGUACACACAAUGAAAACAAAAUGGUUUCACUGGCUGAAAAUGUUGCACCACUUCAAUUGACUGAAAAUUUAAAAUUCCUGUAAAUUAAACUAUUUUAUUGAACAGUCACUUUGUCUAUGAUAUAGCAUCUCAAUAAGUUUCACCAACCUAGCUUAAGUAUAUUUUAUUUUAUGGUAAAUUAAAUAAAUGCAACUAGGUUACCUUUACGCCACUGCUAUCAAACACCGCAGCAUCAUGAGUCGCACCAGGCCAUCUUGACACGACAUCUUUGAACCUUAAAGAAUAGUACAUGAUUGUGUAAGUUUGAACCAGGUUUUAAAGAUAACCACAGUACAUACUUUGCAUUGACUCUGCCAAUGUCUUUAUCUGAUAAUGGCGGAGGUCCUGAAAAAUAAUAUGAAGGCACUUCUGUGAACACAAGUUAAAAUUGACUCUCCUUUCUCAAGAUGCAGCAUGUUUUUUUUUCUUUUAAGAUAUUAUGGGCAUUUUUUACUGUUGAAUUGAGCUGAAAAGAAUAAACAGGUCAAAAGAGUUAGUUAAAAUGUUGUAACAGACCAUUUAUCUGCUAUAAUUCAUCUUGCUACCAGUUGUUUAUAACAAGAGCUGUCAGAUGACAGCGUGCUCGACUAUUCGAGUGCUUGACAGUAUAACGUAAGCCAUCAUGGAGAGGAGGGUAUACUUUGGGGUGUGUCAUUUAAUUUAAUAUUCAAUUAUCUAAGUAUAAAAGGGGCCAUAAUGUUUUUUGGGCAUGUACAUAAAUAAACACUA